rnacentral:tRNA from 1 species
GCCGGCAUAGCUCAGACGGUAGAGCAUCUGAUUCGUAAUCAGGGGGUCGGAGGUUCGAGUCCUCUUGCCGGCA